ACCUGAAAAGAGGUUGGAAAAUGGUUCUUUAUUUGAUGUAUCUGAAAUUAAAGGUUUUCUCAAAAAAUAUUUAUUGUUCAUGUUCUUAGAUUACUAGUCUGCUUACUGAAAAGAUGAUGACAAAAGUGUAGGAGAACAGAUGCAGAAGCCAUUGUUCUGACUUCAUUUCAUCUGGUUAUAUGAAAAGCAUGUUGGAUGGAUCAAUUGUUUGUAUGAGUAAAACUCAAAAGGACACUACAAAUUCUUCGUUCUUUUGAUAAAUUUAUCAUUUUUAAUAAGUUAAAAUUUACUUUAAAUUUUAGAUAUUUUAUAUUAAAAAGUUAAUGAGACGAGAAGAGAGGAAAAAAAGAAUGACACAUGAGAGCUAAGGACGAUGAAAGCGAUGAUGACGACGAUCGAAGAUUAGAUGACGGAGAGAGAGAGAGCUUUGAGGGGGAGGGGGAGGAGGAGGAGGGAAGGCAGUGGUGGUCGGCCUUAGAGUGGACUCGCAGAGCCGAGAAGUCCUCGCUACCCUGGCGGUAGUGUCGUCGUCGUCCGCGUCCUGUCUCCUCGUCGCCAUGCUGCGGCGGCAGCGCUUCAGCGUGCAAGGAUUCUGGCGGUCAGCCGCCCGCUUUGUUCUCUCUCGCCAAGGACUUGGGCGCCAUGCUCGCCGUCUACGAGGGCUUCUGCGACCUUCAGCAGGCCCCUUUCCCGCACCUCAAAAUCCAGUCUUUAUGCUCAAAGCCGGACCUUCAUCGAUCUCGUCGAUUUCCCCGGUUGAUCGACCUAAAGCUGAAUUUUUUGCAAGCGUUCCACCGUCCGUAGGGUUCUGACGCGAGAGAGGAGAGCUUUCGCAGUGUCAAAACUCGUUCUUGGGGUCGCUGAGAACAGCUACGCCGUAGAAUGUUUCACUGGUUUCUCUAAGUUCUGUGCUGGAGACUGCUUUUGCCAAAGAUUCACUAUUUUGAGGUACUUCGGCCUCUUUCAGAUCUUUCUUUGUUGGUCUCUGUAGCUAACUAUUCUGCCAAGAAAUGAGUUGAAUGGUUGUAGCACUUGGAACUGAUGAGAACAACUCACCCACCGUCGUUAACAGCUCGCUAAGAAGCAACUGUUCCAUACCUGCGCCUGAAUCGGAUUCUGCUCUCUUGAAUAGGUUGAAGGACGAAGAGUCAUCGGCCUUGGUGCCAUUGGAGAAAUCUGUGAAGCUCCACUGAAUGGCUCUGUGCCUAUGAUAUGGCGGAAUCUCAACCUGGUUGGUCUUCUCUUAGAAGCCCGGUCCUAACAAGCAGGAAGACUGUUUCCAUGGAGAAGCACAAGAUCUCUUUAGUCCAAUGGGUUACAAUUCUAGGAAGUUGGAUCGAAGUAUUACACAAAAACGAUAUGGAGAGAUCAGCAGGGCCAUUGUUCCGGUUGGACCUGAUUCACCACCACAGGGGGCUGUCUUAUGAGUUGAAGUCUCUCCAUUAGAAGCAUUUAUCUGUUUGCAGAUUUUUCAGCUGCAUGGAACUCACACGAGCAACAACCAACUUCUCACGCAGUUAUUUCUGAAAUUUUGUCAUGCUAAUCGCGUUUAAUUCAUGAACAUUUCUUAUGUUAAUCAAGUUUGCAAUGCCGGUUUCUGAUUGGGAAGGGAAGAAUUAGCAGUGUUUAUAAUGCCAGUCUUUCAGAUGGCAAGGAAUUGGCUUUAAAAAUCUUGAAGCCCUCUGAAGAUGCAACAAAAGAGUUCUGUUUCAGAGAUUGAGAUUGCCACUACCCUUGCAUCACAAAAACAUUAUUUCGCUGCUCAGGUUUUGCUUUGAGAAUAACUGUCUAAUAUUCGUCUAUGACUAUGUAUCAAGGGAUAGCUUAGAACAAAUCCUCCAUGGUGACAAAUAGAACAAGCAUUUUCUCAGUUGGCCUGAAAGAUUCAAGGUGGCAAUAGCAUUGAUCCUGUGAUCCAUAGUGAUGUAAAGUCCUCAAACAUGCUUCUCUCUGAGGAUUUCAGCCUGCAGUUCCUGUUUCUUCUAUGAUGUGCUUCUUGCAUCGCAUCUCUUAUAAAUAUGUGUGUCAUGUUUUUCUUCUUCAAAAUGUUUCAGUUGCCUGACUUUGAAUUGGCAAAAUGGUUAUCAGCGUCAACAUCACGACCAAUUUGCAGUGACAUUGCAGGGACUUUUGGAUCUGUGCUCUUUGUGCAGCAAUAGAUCGAUUUAUUUGCUAAAUGUUAGAUCAACAUCCCAAGUGACAACCUCACUUAGCUCCUGAAUACAUUUUAUAUGGCAAAGUUAAUGAAAAGGUCGAUGUAUAUGUUUUGGGUGUUGUUCUUCUCAAGCUCCAAGUAUUAUAUUUUGUUGGAAAUACUUUGCAUUUAGCUUUGUAAUAUCUAUUUGAGUAUACAUUUUGUUGGUAAAUCCUAUUGUAGAUAAUCCAACUCUGGUUCUCUUAUUUAUUUUCUCCAUGUAAUUGCAGGCAAAGCCAAUCUUACAAGAUGUAGCAGUUAAUAGUGAUCAAGUGGAAAGGAUGAUCAUAGCUUCUUCCUUGUGUGUAAGGUGGCUUCAUCGAAUUUGACCUCACAUAACACUUGUUUUAAAGACUACUCCAAGGAGAUGAUGCUGCUGUUAAAUGGGCAAGCUAUGUUUCAUGAUGAAGUAUCAAACCCAGAAUCUGACAUCCAAUCCCACCUUAGUCACGCAUUAGGAUUACCCGAUCUCGAUCAGCAGCAGCGAUCACAAAUUUGCUUCUCUAACCGCGAGCAUUUCUAUUGAGAACUACUUGCAAUGUGGAAGGAGCCAUUCAUCAUGCAAUUUCUGUAUAGUGUUCAUUUUUUCUGAUUCCUUGGCAAACUAUACACUUUGUGUAUAGUUCUUGCUUUAGAAUUCACCUAUUUUUGGAAUCAUUGAUAUUUUCUCAAUUGUUUGUGAACGAAGAUCAAGGAACUGAUAAGAGAGUUAAUUAUUUUUUGUGCUAAUUUAGUUUG